rnacentral:rRNA from 1 species
UACGAAGGGUGCAAGCGUUACUCGGAAUUACUGGGCGUAAAGCGUGCGUAGGUGGUUCGUUAAGUCUGAUGUGAAAGCCCUGGGCUCAACCUGGGAAUGGCAUUGGAUACUGGCGGACUGGAGUGCGGUAGAGGAUGGCGGAAUUCCCGGUGUAGCAGUGAAAUGCGUAGAGAUCGGGAGGAACAUCCGUGGCGAAGGCGGCCAUCUGGACCAGCACUGACACUGAGGCACGAAAGCGUGGGGAGCGAACAGG